rnacentral:rRNA from 1 species
UACGUAGGUGACAAGCGUUGUCCGGAUUUACUGGGCGUAAAGAGCGCGCAGGCGGUCGAUCAAGUCGAGUGUGAAAGCCCCCGGCUCAACUGGGGAGGGUCAUUCGAUACUGAUCGACUCGAAGGCAGGAGAGGGUAGUGGAAUUCCCGGUGUAGUGGUGAAAUGCGUAGAUAUCGGGAGGAACACCAGUGGCGAAGGCGACACGCUGGGCCGUACCUGACACUGAUGCGCGACAGCAUGGGGAGCAAACAGG